rnacentral:rRNA from 1 species
GACGAACGCUGGCGGCGUGGAUUAGGCAUGCAAGUCGAACGGUAUCAUCCUUUCGGGGGUGAGAGAGUGGCGAACUGGUGAGUAACACGUAGGUUAUCUACCCUCAAGACGGGGACAACCCAGGGAAACUUGGGCUAAUACCGGAUGUGAGCAACUUUUAGUUGUUUGAAAGGUGGCGUAAGCUGUCGCUUGGGGAUGAGCCUGCGUCCUAUUAGUUAGUUGGUGAGGUAACGGCUCACCUAGGCAAUGAUAGGUAGGCGGCCUUAACGGGUGGUCGCCCACACUGGGAUUGAGAUACGGCCCAGACUCCUACGGGAGGCAGCAGUCGAGAAUAGUCUACAAUGGUCGGAAGACUGAUAGUGCGACGCCGCGUGAACGAUGAAUCCCUUCGGGGUGUAAAGUUCUUUUAUAUGUGAGCAGUGCUUCUUAUAUUAACAGUAUGGGGAGAGAGAUAUUAGCAUAAUGAAUAAAGCAAACGGCUAAACUCCGUGCCAGCAGCCGCGGUAAAACGU